rnacentral:rRNA from 1 species
UGAGUGACCUGCCGAUUUGUGGGGGAUAGCCGGGCCAACGCCCGGGUAAUACCGCAUACGCUCUUCUUGGGGCAUCUCUAGAAGAGGAAACCUCCGGGGCAAAUCGAGGGACUCGCGGCCUGUCAGCUAGUUGGCGAGGUAACGGCUCACCAAGGCUACGACGGGUAGCUGGUCUGAGAGGAUGGCCAGCCACAUUGGGACUGAGACACGGCCCAGACCUCCGUACGGGAGCAGC